GAUGAAGAACGCAGCGAAAUGCGAUACGUAAUGUGAAUUGCAGAAUGCAGUGAAUCAUCGAAUCUUUGAACGCAUAUUGCGCUCUCUGGUAUUCCGGAGAGCAUGCUUGUUUGAGUAUCAGUAAACACCUCAACUUCCAUAUCUUUUUUGAAAUGGGAGUUGGACUUGAGUGAUCCCAACGCUUUUCCUCACCGAAAAGUGGCGGGUUACUUGAAAUGCAGGUGCAGCUGGACUUUUCUCUGAGCUAUAAGCAUAUCUAUUUAGUCUGCCUAAAAAACAGAUUAUUACCUUUGCUGCAGCUAACAUAAAGGAGAUUAGUUCUUGUGCUGACUGAUGCAGGAUUCACAAAGACGGCUUCGGCCGACUUUGUAAACUCGAUCUCAAAUCAAGUAAGACUACCCGCUGAACUUAAGCAUAUCAAUAAGCGGAGGA
rnacentral:misc_RNA from 1 species